AUUUUUUUUAUUAAAUAAGCAGAUUUUUAGAUACUCCAAUGAUGGGAUUAUCUGAAUAAAACUGAUUGAACCUGAGGCUGAGGAGCUUGGAACAUUGAAUCAUGACUUGUGUAAAUCUAUAUAAAUCAUUUUCUGUGCCAGAGAAUGAAUAGCCAACUUCAUUCAAAUGCCAAUUCAGCACUUACAAAGUCUGCUAACAGUUAAUUAGAAACUACCAUCUCAUUAUAUUCUGAGGUCACAAUGACUGCAAAAGACGACAAAAUUUUCAUUAGCAUGUUGGAUAUUAAAGAUCUGAAAGACAAUGAAUUGACUGAACAGCUUAAGAAGCACGGAUAUAGUCCGGGUCCUAUACUACCUUCCACAAGACGAGCUUAUGAGAAGAAACUACUAGAAUUGUUGACAGCUAUCUGUCCAACAAAAUGUGAGGAGAAGACAAGUGGAAGGAUAUGUCAGCAGGAAAGUGGAGAAAAAAUCAUUGCUUUGAAAAGAAACAGCGAAAUGUUAUCAAGAAUAACAGAAGAAAUCCAAAACGAUAAACUUGAAAACCACGAAGAUGAUGAUGAUCAGAUUUGCACCCCUUUACCUCUCCAGUGCCAACAGAUGACUCAUGAGGAAACUCCACCUUAUUCUAUGGAUGACGAUAUUGACAUCUAUUGUCCUACUGCCAGCCCUCACCCAGGAAUAAGGCAAUUAAAUUGUAUGGUGGAUACAGUCCUGGACCUUGAGUUAGAAGAGAUCCUAGUUCAGAUCUGACUUCAAACACUUCGGCUAUGUGACCUUUGGUGCAGCUAAGUAGCUCAGCGAAUGAAACACCAGGCCUGGAUUUGGAAGGACCUGGGUUCAAGUUUGGCCUCAGAUACUUCUUAGUUGUGUGACUCUGG
rnacentral:lncRNA from 1 species